CACGCCGCCCUGCCCCGGUUUCGUUCCGAGGCGGGGGGCUCGGCGCGUGGAAAGAAUUCCGGCGGCUGCCACGACUCGCGUGCAAGUUGAAGGCAGGGUGAGUGGUGCCGGAGGACAGACCUCGCCAUUCGAUCGUAUUUAGAAGAUAGCCACCCACUCGGAAGGUGAGUAAAGACUUGUCUGCAGCUUUAUACAAUGAAAUGUUCUCAAGCCUGCUGGAGAGUGGACAGAACGGACGGUGUGCCCAGCACCCACAUUUGAAUGUUGUUAGUGUCUUGUUAAUUUUCUUUUCCUGUUUUGGUAGGUGUGUCCCCUUAAAAAAUAUUUUGAUUAUUUCUGUUUUUGUUGAAAUACAUGGGAAUAUAUUCCAAAUAUCAUGGCACUUUCUCCUAAAAUGUGUAGAGCGUCUAAAAAUAAUAACAGCCUCCCAUGACUGCCAUUUUAGAACACUCAUAAAUCAUGUGACACCAGAUCACAUAAGUAAACACAAGAGUGUAACAGAAAUUGUCUCCCUUCAUAAUUUAUAGAAAUUAAAAGAUUUUAACUAUAUCUAAUUAGUGGACGGCUAAGCAGUCUGAAUUGAAUUGACGCCAACUAUGGGGAUAUAGAGAUGUGGUGUUGGAUCUGCCUGAGAGCGACCCUGUGCUUAAUUCUUUUCCUGUAAGCUGCCUGUCCACCUUGGCUGCCAUUUGGUUGGUUGUGUGAGUGGAUUAGAUGGUAACAACCCUCCUCCUGAUGGCUUUCAUAGUACACCAGUCUCUGUGACCUGUGUGACCAAAUGUUGGUUAAUUUAGAAAAAAGAUUCACAUCUGUAGGAGAACAUGGGAAGAUCAGGUGUGGUCAUGUAAAAUUGAUGUUAAUAAUGUUCAAGUCAACACCAGAGAGGCCAGAAAUAAUUCCAAGCUAGAAAUUUUACAUGAAAGACUUGUUGGACUUUAUAAUUCUGUAGCGAUUAUAGUUACACAUCAGAGCUGGUCACAGGAGUCAUUAUCUCUUGUAAGGUAGCUAUUGCCUGUUCUGAAUUCCAGGCUUUUAAUAACUACGUGUAUCAUGAAUACAUAAUCAAGGUAACUUUGCAAGCCAAACAUACAUGUGUGGCUCGCACAUCUCCCUUCUAGUAGACACUGUACUGCUCCCGUGACUUGGAGCAGUAUAAAUUCAUUUUUCCUUUGUUUACUGUGUGUGUGUGUAAUGUAUAACUCAGAUUAUAUUUUUGUAUACUUGUAUAUUUUGUACACUCAGCCACCCACUACUCCUGUUGUUGCAUACAGUUAGAGAAUGCCCUUUCUCAUUGCUGUCAGGAAUUCCACUGUGGGGAAACACCAAGGUUUAUCUAUUCUAGUAGAUGUGAAUCUUUUUAAGAGGUUUGCC
ensembl:lncRNA